UGCCAGCAGCCGCGGUAAUACUGAAGGUGCGAGCGUUAAUCGGAAUCACUGGGCGUAAAGCGCUCGUAGGUGGCUUUGUAAGUCAGAUGUGAAAGCCCAGGGCUCAACCCUGGAAUUGCAUUUGAUACUGCAUCGCUAGAGUAUAGGAGAGGGAAGUGGAAUUUCUGGUGUAGGAGUGAAAUCCGUAGAGAUCAGAAGGAACACCCGUGGCGAAGGCGACUUCCUGGACGAGUACUGACGCUGAGGUACGAAAGCGUGGGGAGCAAACAGGAUUAGAUA
rnacentral:rRNA from 1 species